GGCCCUGGAGACCCGGAGGCUGGGUUCGAUGGCUGCUUGGCUGGUUUCUGGGCAUCCCACGGCCGGGCCGAUCUUAGUCUUUGGAGGCUGUGGCGGGAGUCGUGGCGGCUAAGGGAAGAGGGACCCCAAACGGCUUAGGCGCUUUCCUUUUCCCCACUUGAGCCUUAGCCUUGCCCAAAUUGCCUUUUUCCGGUAGGACUGACUUUAUCUGCCUGGCCUCUCUCAGCUGCCAACCUUACCCGAAAUCUAGACCCCAGACCUGAUUUCAUUUCUGCAUCCUUCUUGCUGGAGUUUGAAAACACAUUAAUGUGAUACCAGGGAUUGAACUCUGGAACUCAGGACCUUGCACUUGCGAGGCAGGUGUGGUGCCGCUGAGCCUGUGAUUUUAUCAUGUUUGGUGGAAUAUGUAUAUUCUGGUCCUUUGAAGAAAUUUUUGACUUGCAAAUGUCAUACAGCAACCAUGACCAUUGCUUUGAU